AUAUCUUCUCGGCUAUUUAGCUAAGAUCAAGUUUUUAAACUGUUCUUAUCAGAGUAAUUCCUGAUAUGGGCUUUGUCCCAGGAAUAGAAACUGUUGAUCUCCCAGGCGUUCUUCCGGAGUUCCACGUGUCCGGACGGAGUGCUUGUUUU
rfam:Trypanosoma cruzi marinkellei strain B7 TcMARK_CONTIG_19865, whole genome shotgun sequence.